rnacentral:rRNA from 1 species
GACGAACGCUGGCGGCGUGCUUAACACAUGCAAGUCGAACGGAAAGGCCCUGCUUGCAGGGUACUCGAGUGGCGAACGGGUGAGUAACACGUGGGUGAUCUGCCCUGCACUUCGGGAUAAGCCUGGGAAACUGGGUCUAAUACCGGAUAGGAGCCAUUUUUAGUGUGAUGGUUGGAAAGUUUUUUCGGUGUAGGAUGAGCUCGCGGCCUAUCAGCUUGUUGGUGGGGUAAUGGCCUACCAAGGCGGCGACGGGUAGCCGGCCUGAGAGGGGGGACGGCCACAUUGGGACUGAGAUACGGCCCAGACUCCUACGGGAGGCAGCAGUGGGGAAUAUUGCACAAGGGGCGCAAGCCUGAUGCAGCGACGCCGCGUGGGGGAUGACGGCCUUCGGGUUGUAAACUCCUUUCGCUAGGGACGAAGCUUUGUGUGACGGUACCUAGAGAAGAAGCACCGGCUAACUACGUG